ensembl:lncRNA
CACCCCCUCUUCAGCCUGGUCCCCUUAGGACCAGACUCCACCCCCUCACACACAGCCUUUUCAACCUGGUCCCCAUAGGAACAGACUCCACCCCCUCUUCAGCCUGGUCCCCAUAGGUAGACUCCACCUCCUAACACACCGCCUUUUCAGGCUGGUCCCCAUAGGAACAGACUCCACCCCCACACACACCGCCUUUUUAGCCUGGUCCCCAUAGGAACUGACUCCACCUCCUUUUCAGCCUGGUCCCCAUAGGUAGACUCCACCUCCUCACACACCGCCUUUUCAGCCUGGUCCCCAUAGGAACAGACUCCACCCCCUCACAAACUGCCUUUUCAGCCUGGUCCCCAUAGGAACUGACUCCACCCCCCCCUCUUCAGCCUGGUCCCCAUAGGAACAGACUCCACCAACUCACACACCGCCUUUUCAGCCUGGUCCCCAUAGGAACAGACUCCACCCCCUCACACACCGCCUUUUCAGCCUGGUCCCCAUAGGAACAGACUCCACCCCCCACGCACCGCCUUUUCAGCCUGGUCCCCAUAGGAACAGACUCCACCCCCUCUUCAGCCUGGUCCCCUUAGGAACAGACUCCACCCCCUCUUCAGCCUGAUCCCCAUAGGUAGACUCCACCUCCUCACACACAGCCUUUUCAGCCUGGUCCCCAUAGGAACAGACUCCACCCCCUCACACACCGCCUUUUCAGCCUGGUCCCCAUAGGAACUGACUCCACCCCCUUUUCAGCCUGGUCCCCAUAGGAACAGACUCCACCCCCUCACACACAGCCUUUUCAGCCUGGUCCCCAUAGGAACAGACUCCACCCCCUCACACACCACCUUUUCAGCCUGGUCCCCAUAGAAACAGACUCCACCCCUCAUACACCACCUUUUCAGCCUGGUCCCCAUAGGAACAUACUCCAUCAACUCACACACCUCCUUUUCAGCCUGGUCCCCAUAGGAACAGACUCCACCCCCUCACACACCACCUUUUCAGCCUGGUCCCCAUAGGAACAUACUCCACCCCCUCUUCAGCCUGGUCCCCAUAGGAACAGACUCCACCCCCUCUUCAGCCUGGUCCCCAUAGGAACAGACUCCACCCCCUCACGCACUGCCUUUUCAGCCUGGUCCCCAUAGGAACAGACUCCACCCCCUCUUCAGCCUGGUCCCCAUAGGAACAGACUCCACCCCCUUAAAGCGUAUUUCCUGCAAUUCUACACAUUUUGUCAGAUGGUGAUUUUUGCAGUUCUAAAGCAAAUUUUAUUGCAAUUGUAUACAUUUUUCCAUGUCUAAUGUGUAUUCAUGUGAUAUGAGUGACUCAAACAUUACAAAAUCUAUGGGCAAAAAAAAAAGCUAAAAAAAAAACGUUAUUUGAUAUGGGCCAGUUGAUCUGUACAUUUCUGACAAGGUAGCAGCGAAGGUAUGCAUUGACUGACGUGACGAACUGAUGACGCAAAACCCAAUAUAGAAGACGACCCCACCGUGCCAGAGAGCUGUCCUGGACUCUAUUCACUGAUGGGCCGUAGAACAAAUCACUUGUGACCUGGCGAUAGGUGCCCUGUGCAUAAACAG